GUGGGGAAUCUUGCGCAAUGGGCGAAAGCCUGACGCAGCCAUGCCGCGUGAAUGAUGAAGGUCUUAGGAUUGUAAAAUUCUUUCACCGGGGACGAUAAUGACGGUACCCGGAGAAGAAGCCCCGGCUAACUUCGUGCCAGCAGCCGCGGUAAUACGAAGGGGGCUAGCGUUGCUCGGAAUUACUGGGCGUAAAGGGCGCGUAGGCGGACAGUUUAGUCAGAGGUGAAAGCCCAGGGCUCAACCUUGGAAUUGCCUUUGAUACUGGGUGUCUUGAGUAUGAGAGAGGUGUGUGGAACUCCGAGUGUAGAGGUGAAAUUCGUAGAUAUUCGGAAGAACACCAGUGGCGAAGGCGACACACUGGCUCAUUACUGACGCUGAGGCGCGAAAGCGUGGGGAGCAAACAGGAUUAGAAACCCGGGUAGUCC
rnacentral:rRNA from 1 species